rnacentral:rRNA from 1 species
GAUGAACGCUGACAGAAUGCUUAACACAUGCAAGUCGAUGGGGAAGUGGUGCUUGCACCAUGGCAACCAUGGCGGACGGGUGAGUAACGCGUAAGGGACUUACCUGCAGGACUGGGAUAACAGGGGGAAACUCCUGACAAGACCGGAUAAUGUCAUGGAGCUGCAUGGCUUUAUGAUGAAAGGAGACGCCUGCGGAGAGCCUUGCGUCCUAUUAGCUAGUUGGUGAGGUAAUGGCUCACCAAGGCGAAGAUAGGUAGCCGGCCUGAGAGGGUGGACGGCCACAAGGGGACUGAGAUACGGCCCUUACUCCCACGGGAGGCAGCAGUGGGGAAUAUUGGACAAUGGGGGCAACCCUGAUCCAGCAAUUCUGUGUGCACGAAGAAGGUUUUCGGAUUGUAAAGUGCUUUCAGCAGGGAAGAAGUAAGUGACGGUACCUGCAGAAGAAGCGACGGCUAAAUACGUG